rnacentral:rRNA from 1 species
CCUACGGGGGGCUGCAGUGGGGAAUUUUACGCAAUGGGGGAAACCCUGACGUAGCGACACCGCGUGAGCGAAGAAGCCCCUUGGGGUGUAAAGCUCUGUCGGCUGGAACGAAAAAAAUGACGGUACCAGCAAAGGAAGCAUCGGCUAACUACGUGCCAGCAGCCGCGGUAAGACGUAGGAUGCAAGCGUUGUCCGGAUUUAUUGGGCGUAAAGAGUUCGUAGGUGGUUUGUCAAGUCUGAUGUUAAAGAUCGGGGCUCAACCCUGGGACUGCAUUGGAUACUGGCAGACUUGAGUAUGGUAGAGGCUAGUGGAAUUCCCAGUGUAGCGGUGAAAUGCGUAGAUAUUGGGAAGAACACCGGUGGCGUAGGCGACUAGCUGGGCCAUAACUGACGCUGAGGAACGAAAGCCAGGGGAGCGAAUGGGAUUAGAUACCCCGGUAGUC